AUUGAACGCUGGCGGCAGGCCUAACACAUGCAAGUCGAGCGGAUGAAGGGAGCUUGCUCCUGGAUUCAGCGGCGGACGGGUGAGUAAUGCCUAGGAAUCUGCCUGGGAGUGGGGGAUAACGUCCGGAAACGGGCGCUAAUACCGCAUACGGCCUGAGGGAGAAAGUGGGGGAUCUUCGGACCUCACGCUAUCAGAUGAGCCUAGGUCGGAUUAGCUAGUUGGUGGGGUAAAGGCCUACCAAGGCGACGAUCCGUAACUGGUCUGAGAGGAUGAUCAGUCACACUGGAACUGAGACACGGUCCAGACUCCUACGGGAGGCAGCAGUGGGGAAUAUUGGACAAUGGGCGAAAGCCUGAUCCAGCCAUGCCGCGUGUGUGAAGAAGGUCUUCGGAUUGUAAAGCACUUUAAGUUGGGAGGAAGGGCAGUAAGUUAAUACCUUGCUGUUUUGACGUUACCAACAGAAUAAGCACCGGCUAACUUCGUG
rnacentral:rRNA from 1 species